rnacentral:rRNA from 1 species
CAGGAUGAACGCUAGCGGCGGGCUUAACACGAUGCAAGUCGAGGGGCAUCGGGAGUAGCAAUACUGCCGGCGACCGGCGCAAGGGUGCGUAACGCGUGAGCAACAUGCCCGUAUCAGGGGGAUAAUCCAUGGAAACGUGGUCUAAUACCCCAUAGUAAUUAUGUAAGGCAUCUUAUAUAAUUUAAGGCUUUGGUGGAUACGGAUUGGCUCGCGUGACAUUAGCUGGAUGGUAAGGUAACGGCUUACCAUGGCUACGGAUGUCUAGGGGUUCUCGAGAGGAAGGUCCCCCACACUGGAACUGAGACACGGUCCAGACUCCUACGGGAGGCAGCAGUGAGGAAUAUUGGACAAUGGAUGGAAAUCUGAUCCAGCCAUGCCGCGUGCAGGAAGACGGCCCUAUGGGUUGUAAACUGCUUUUGUAUGGGAGCAAUAAGGGCUACGUGUAGUCCGAUGAGAGUACCAUACGAAUAAGCACCGGCUAACUCCGUGCCAGCCGCCGC